GAUGAACGCUAGCUACAGGCUUAACACAUGCAAGUCGAGGGGAAACGAUGAGAGAGCUUGCUCUCUUAGGCGUCGACCGGCGCACGGGUGAGUAACGCGUAUCCAACCUACCCAUUACAGGGGGAUAACCUUGCGAAAGUAAGACUAAUACCCCAUGGCAUUUUAUGGUGGCAUCAUUAUAGGAUUAAAGAUUUAUUGGUAAUGGAUGGGGAUGCGUCUGAUUAGCUUGUUGGCGGGGUAACGGCCCACCAAGGCAACGAUGAGUAGGGGUUCUGAGAGGAAGGUCCCCCAGAUUGGAACUGAGACCCGGUCCAAACUCCUACGGGAGGCAGCAGUGAGGAAUAUUGGUCAAGGGGCGAGAGCUUGAACCAGCCAAGUAGCGUGCAGGAUGACGGCCCUAGGGGUUGUAAACUGCUUUUAUAGGAGAAUAAAGUGAGAUACGUGUAGUUUAUUGCAUGUACCCUAUGAAUAAGGACCGGCUAAUUCCGUG
rnacentral:rRNA from 1 species